rnacentral:rRNA from 2 species
UGGGGAAUAUUGGACAAUGGGGGAAACCCUGAUCCAGCGACGCCGCGUGGGUGAAGAAGGCCUGCGGGUUGUAAAGCCCUUUCGGUAGGGACGAAAGCUCUCGACCUAACACGUCGGGAGGUUGACUUAACCUACAAAAGAAGCACCGGCUAACUCUGUGCCAGCAGCCGCGGUAAUACAGAGGGUGCGAGCGUUAAUCGGAAUUACUGGGCGUAAAGCGCACGUAGGCGGCUUGGCAUGUCGGGUGUGAAAUCCCCGGGCUCAACCUGGGAACUGCAUCCGAAACUGCCUUGCUAGAGUAUGGGAGAGGGAAGUGGAAUUUCCGGUGUAGCGGUGAAAUGCGUAGAUAUCGGAAGGAACAUCAGUGGCGAAGGCGACUUCCUGGACCAAUACUGACGCUCAGGUGCGAAAGCGUGGGGAGCAAACAGG